rnacentral:ncRNA from 1 species
UGUCUUCAGGGCGGGGUGCGAUUCCCCACUGGCGGUAUAGUCCGCGACCGGAUGCCGUAGGGCAUCUGCUGACCCGGUGCAACUCCGGGACCAACAGUAUAGUCUGGAUGGAAGAAGAG